ACGGAAGGCAGCAGUGGGGAAUAUUGCACAAUGGGGGAAACCCUGAUGCAGCGAUGCCGCGUGAAGGAUGAAGAUUUUCGGAUUGUAAACUUCUAUCGACAAGGAAGAAAACGGACAGUACUUGAGUAAGAAGCCCCGGCUAACUACGUGCCAGCAGCCGCGGUAAUACGUAGGGGGCAAGCGUUAUCCGGAUUUACUGGGUGUAAAGGGUGCGUAGGCGGCAUUGCAAGUUUCAUGUGAAACCCCGAGGCUUAACUUCGGGCAUGCAUGAAAAACUACAGAGCUAGAGUACAGGAGAGGAAAGCGGAAUUCCUAGUGUAGCGGUGAAAUGCGUAGAUAUUAGGAAGAACACCAGUGGCGAAGGCGGCUUUCUGGACUGAAACUGACGCUGAGGCACGAAAGCGUGGGGAGCAAACAGGAUUAGAUACCCUGGUA
rnacentral:rRNA from 1 species